rnacentral:rRNA from 1 species
CUACGGGGUGCAGCAGUGGGGAAUAUUGGGCAAUGGGCGCAAGCCUGACCCAGCAACGCCGCGUGAGGGAAGAAGGUUUUCGGAUUGUAAACCUCUGUCCUUGGGGACGAAGAAGUGACGGUACCCAAGGAGGAAGCUCCGGCUAACCACGUGCCAGCAGCCGCGGUAAUACGUAGGGAGCAAGCGUUGUCCGGAAUUACUGGGCGUAAAGGGUGCGUAGGCGGCAUAUUAAGUCAGGUGUGAAAUACUCGGGCUCAACCCGGUGGCUGCAUUUGAAACUGAUAUGCUUGAGUGUGAGAGAGGAAAGUGGAAUUCCUAGUGUAGCGGUGGAAUGCGUAGAUAUUAGGAGGAACACCAGUGGCGAAGGCGACUUUCUGGCUCAUAACUGACGCUGAGGCACGAAAGCGUGGGGAGCAAACAGGAUUAGAUACCCCUGUAGUC